ACGCGUAAAGCGCCGUAGGCAGGAGCGGGGGACCCAAGGUAAGCGCCGGGCGCGACCGUUCACGGAGUCGACAGGACUGCGGGACACGGAAGCCGACCGGCUAGGGGUGAAGCCGCGCGCCAGACGCGCGGCCGGGCAACUCAUUCGGCCCGAACCCGACAGCUCACCUCGUAGGCGUCGGUGAGGGGAUGA
rnacentral:sRNA from 1 species